rnacentral:rRNA from 1 species
UACGUAGGGGGCAAGCGUUAUCCGGAUUUACUGGGUGUAAAGGGGGCGCAGACGGCGAUGCAAGCCAGGAGUGAAAGCCCGGGGCCCAACCCCGGGACUGCUCUUGGAACUGCUUAGCUGGAGUAUGGGAGGGGUAAGCGGAAUUCCUGGUGUAGCGGUGAAAUGCGUAGAUAUCAGGAGGAACACCGGUGGCGAAGGCGGCUUACUGGACCAUGACUGACGUUGAGGCUCGAAAGCGUGGGGAGCGAACAGG